rnacentral:rRNA from 1 species
CCUACGGGCGGCAGCAGUGGGGGAUAUUGCAAAAUGGGCGCAAGCCUGAUGCAGCGACACCGCGUGAGCGAAGAAGUAUUUCGGUAUGUAAAGCUCUAUCAGCAGGGAAGAAAAUGACGGUACCUGACUAAGAAGCUCCGGCUAAAUACGUGCCAGCAGCCGCGGUAAUACGUAUGGAGCAAGCGUUAUCCGGCUUUACUGGGUGUAAAGGGAGCGUAGGCGGCCCUGUAAGUCUGAUGUGAAAAUUUGGGGCUCAACCCCAAACGUGAAUUGGAAACUGCAGGGCUUGAGUGUUGGAGAGGCAGGCGGAAUUCCGUGUGUAGCGGUGAAAUGCGUAGAUAUACGGAGGAACACCAGUGGCGAAGGCGGCCUGCUGGACAAUAACUGACGCUGAGGCGCGAAAGCGUGGGGAGCAAACAGGAUUAGAUACCCCUGUAGUC